ACCCUGUUGUUGUUGGUAUCUAUUUAUAAAAUUCGUUAUAUGUUAUGUAUUCGCUCUUCAAAAGUCCUUAACACUCGUGUGGCAGGGAUGGAGACAGGAACAGACUAAUGAAAGCCGCAUUGCCAGAGCUACAGUUCUGCAGCUACCAGUACCAUGAUCUGAACCCUAGCCUCCAGUACCAUGAUCUGAACCCUAGCCUCCAGUACCAUGAUCUGAAAACUGCACUACCUGAGGAUGCUUGACUAUCGACAUGACUAACCAUACUAUGAUUCAUAGACAUUCAUGAGAGGAACUUUUUACAAUACAUUUGCAUGUCAGACUUUUGAAUUCCUAAUGUAGUCCUACCCUAUACCCAUGGCUACAAAUUGAACUUGGAAUCUGCACUUCCUGAUGAUGCUUGCGUACUGAUAUGACUAAUCAUUGCACUGCUGCUCUUAAAAAAAAGAUUUUCAAAGUUGUUUUUUUCCUGAAAUGUCCCCAUUUUGAUAUCUUACUUUACAUGCUCGACAUUGAUAAGCACAUUGUAUGAUUUUUGACUGAUAUUCACCCAUCAAAAUCAGUCAAAUUUCAUAACGAAGCAGUUUACACACUUGCUACCAAUGGCUUUCGACUAUAGGAAGAAUAUUAAUAGGCAUACUAAUUUUUCAUGAUUGAUUAAGACAUGUCAGUCUCCUCUGUGUUUAUUUGCUGGGACUGUUUUUCACCCGCAGAUCACACAGUGCAUUUUAUUAACAUUUACUGACAACAAACCUCACUGAGAAAUUAAUGGAUUUUUCCUGGUAAACUGGAUUUGAAGUUUGUGUAUUUAACAAUUAAAAUGAAGACUGAUGUUGAAUUGUU